UCUCUUCCUUCCGCUCGUCCCCGCGUCUGUCUUCCUCUCCUCCCCGUUUCUCUCUUCCUCUCCUCCCUGCUUCUGUCUUCCUCUCCAGCCUGGCACUGCUGCUUGCUUACACCUGUGUUUCUCUUCCUCCCUUCCCAGGGUCCCCUUCUGCCCUUUUCCACUUCUCUCCUGCUUCUCCAUGCUUUGCUGUCCAUGGUGAAUCUGUAUAUUCUUGCUUUCGUUUUGUCCACCACCCCAAUUCUCUACAACAGGAGUCCCUGACCCCGGCCACAGACAGGUCCGUGGCCUCUUAGGAACCGGCCGCACAGCAGAGGUGAGCGGGGCGAACCAGCAAAGCCUCGUCUGUAUUUACAGCUGCUCCCCUCACUCACAUGAUCACCUGAGCUCCCCUCCUGUCAGAUCGGCAGUGGCAUUAGCAUCUCAUAGGAGCUGAACCCUACUGUGAACUGUGCGUGUGAGGGAUGUGGGCUUUGUGCUCCUUAUGAAAAUCCAAUGCCAGAAGAUCUGCACUGUCCCCCACCCCCCCCCAGAUGGAACCGUCUAGUGCAGGAAAACAAGCUCUGGGGUCUCACUGAUUCUACGUUAUGGCACCAGGACUGCUCCCUGAGUGGGCAGAAAACCAGGGCAUCCAGCUGCAGUGACAGGAGGCAAGGCAGAGACCCACAGGGUGCAGGGAGCUGGCUUUAUAAGGCACACAGGAGCUGCAGGUGCUUUGUUAAGAGCCAAAACUGGCACAAUUUGAGAAGCAAAAUGAAGUUAUUGAAUCAUCACCCAAAGUAAAAAAUAAAUGUACAAGUCCACACUGACAUAAACAAAUUACAAGAUAAAUUAGAAAUGGGAGAGAACGACCAGCUCCCCAUGCAUGGGACUUCCAAGUAAUCCAGGCCAACAUGCCGCUUUAUGGGUGGUGCGAGACUCCUUGCUCCAUCCCCGCGGUCUGGGCACAGCAGCUCCCUCCCGAAGAGGAUGGUUUGGAAGCAGCACAAAGGAUGGACCUCACCAUGGAGGAAGCUGAGCACUGACUCAGCUGAGUCCAGGACAGCAGUGGCGGGUGAGCCAGGCUGCGUGGGCCUCAGACUCUGACGGAGGUGCACCUUCACCUCCGUGCCCUUUCUCCAAAGGACAUGUAACUUCAGUCUAACCCCGGGGAAAACGCCAGGCAAAUCCCAGUGGAGGGAAGUCCUACAAACACGUGACAAGUGCUCCUCAGAACUGCCAGGGCCACCAGGAUCAAGCAAAAUCUGAGAAACUCACAGCUGAGAAGGAGCCAAGGAGGCACGACCCACCCUGAGAGGCUUCAGGUGAAACCCUGAAAGAGGAGGGGCCUCAGAGUCUUGCUCUGUCACCCUGGCUGGAAUGCAGUGGUACAAUCUCGGCUCACUGCAAUCUCCGCCUCCCAGUUUCAAGUGAUUCUCCUGCCUCAGCCUCCUGAGUAACUGGGAUUACAGGUAUGCACCACCACACCUGGCUAAGUUUUGAAUUUUUAGUAGAGACGGAGCUUCACCAUGUUGGCCAGGCUGGUCUGGAACUCCUGACCUCAAAUGAUGUACCUGCGUGGGCCUCCCAAAGUGCUGAGAUGACAGAUGUACACCACCUUGCCCAGCCCCAGACAUUGCUUUCUAUUGAUCUCAGGUCUUCAGAUAAACUCAACCACUUGUUAACCAAUAAAUUUUUGAACCCACCUCUAAGCUGGAAGCCCCGCUUCAACUUGCCCCACCUUUCUGGCCCAAACCAAUCUAUUUGACGUCUCAUGUCUCUCUAAAGUGUAUAAAACCAAGCUGCCCCCCGACCGCUUUGGGCACAUGUUCUCGGGGCCGCCUGAGGGUUGUGUCACGGACCAUGGUCACUUAUAUUUGGCCAAGAAUAAAUCUCUUCAAAUAUUUUACACAGUUUGAUUCUUCUUUGACAGAGGAGUUAAACUGCCACCUUAAAGAAAAAAAAAAAGUCUUACUUAAUCCAAAGUAAGACAGGAAAAAAGGAAGCGAGAAUAAAAGAACAAAAGACUUAAUAGCCGAUGAUACAAGAUGGUGGACAGGGCAGGGGAGUGUGCGGGCGGAGGAAGACUGGGCAGCAGGAAGACAGGUGGCUGCGAAGGAGAAGAGUGUGUGGCAAGAACCGUGGACACACAGCAAACAUCAAAGCCCAGCAAAAUAGAGAGGCACGGAAACCACCCCUGACAUCCACUGUCCUUCCUAGACAUCCCCACAGUGGGGCAGCAUUCUCAGUUAUUAACAUGCCAGUUACGUGAAGAAAUUGCUCUGAAGUCAACGGCAGGUUGUCCAGUUAAGGAACGAGAGGAACUAGACAUGAUUUUUAGUAUCAUUGGUUUUCAUUUGGCUCAACUGCACCAAGGCCUAAUCUUUUCGAUGGUGAAUUGAAACACUGUUUCCAAGCAAGCAAACGCAUGGCCUCAGUUCCCUCACUGAAUAUAAAAAUUCUCAGGCAAGCCAUUUGAUGUAAAAAUAAUGGCUAUUCCAAAAGGCCAUUCUUAUAAGCUGUAAGACAUUUAUGACUAAGCUAUGUGUGAAAAGAUUUCAACUUGAACACACACUAAGUGGAAUGUGCUAUUUCUAUCAAGGUAUUUUAAGCUGUAGUAAUGUCUGACUUAAUUCUUUUUACAUGUUGAUGGCUUUCCAGGGGCUCUGCCAGUUCUCCUGGCUGCCUUCUGCAUCAGUACGCUCAGGGUAGAAGUGGUAGUGUGUAUCUUUCCUCAAACAAGCAGAAAUAAAAGUAAAAGUUGUCAAAGGCUUAGAGUUAACACGCUGUCUUUGGAGGUCACUGCCUCUGCAUAGCCUGAGGGUCUUUGUUCCAAGGAGUUCCUUCUGAAGGAGAUGCACGAACCUGAAGUUCUUGGUGCUCCCCGCGAUUGGAACCACUCACACGUGUUGGCUCCAAGUUUGAUCCCAGAAAGGGUGAGCACAGGGAACCCCCAAGCAGACCGUCAUGCUGUGCAUCCCUCACUGGCAAUGUGACUCCACGGAAACAGCAAGGAUUUGGAGAUCAGAGAUGUGGGCUCCAACCCAGGUCGCCUCAUGUGUGAAGUUGGGAAAAUGAGAGCCUUAGCAGAGGACUGUGGGGAUUCAAUGGCAGCAAGCUUCUAGCACGGGCCUGCUCUGACAGGUAGCAGUGAAGAUCCUUUUUGUUGAUAAAAAGAGUCAAACUCUGUAAAAUAUUGGAAGAGAUUUAUUCUGAGCCAAAGAUAGUGACUGUUGCCUAUGACACAGCCCUCAGGGGGUCCUCAGAACGUGCGCCCAGGGUGGUCAGGGUGCAGCUUGGUUCUAUACAUUUUAGGGAGGCAGGAGACAUCAAUCAAAUACAUUCAGAAAAGACAUUGAUUUAGUUCAAAAGGGUGGGACUGGUUAUAGUUUCAAUUUUCUGGUUAACAACUGGUUGAGUUCACUUACCUGAGAUCAACAGAAAGGAAAUGUCUGGGUAAGAGGCUGGGGAGACCGAAGGGUUUUCCUGCAGACAAGCGUCCAGGUAGCAGCCUUCUGGAGAAGGAUUGUAAAUGUUUCUGACAGUGCUGAGGUUAUGGCUGGAGGGUGUAAUGAGGCCUGUCCCGCCCCCGCUUCCCAUCAUGGACUGAACCAGCCUUCCAGGUCACUUGUUAGAGCACCCUGGCUGACGAGGAAGGCCACGGAGAUGGUUGAGGGGCCUUCAAGAUGUAUUUUUGGUUUACAGCUUCUUUGUUCCUUCUGCAGUGACUCUGACCACACUUUGAUUUACUGCAGCUGUUCUCAGAUGUGAUUCUCUCUUGAACCCCACAGACGUUUUACUGAUUUUCUGCUGUGAUAACCAGUUUUCUUGGCAGCUGAGUUCCCAGUUCCUAAGCACCGUGAUCCCCAUGCUCUGUGUUCUGUAACCAGGACCAGACUUCCCACAUGCCCAACACCCACGUAGUUAUUCAGAGCUUUAUUCUUACCUGCAAGCAUAGAUUGGAAAAUUAAAAAAAAAAAAAAAUCUUUCAGGUUAUCACCCUUUUUCAGUCAUGUAGAGUUUUAGGGUGUUGGUAGAGGUGAUCCCCAAAAUGUUUUUAAAGACAAUAAACAACCCUUAUGUUUUCUUUCCUUUUCAUUUUUUUUUUCAGUUCUCCGGGAUUUGAUUUGUUGCUUUGUAAAAAUACCUGCUGGAGGUAAUUCGAGAGGUCUUUUAACUGAUAAACGGAUGACUUUCAAAUUGAGAUCUUAAAAACCUGAGUGAAUAUGCAAGAAAAUGAACUGUUAUUUGAUAUUUUCUCUUCCUUGUUUGCCAUAAUUAUUUAGGCUUCUCUGGUAAAAAUAAGUGGAUAUUUUUGGUAACUACUUAUAUGUACUUUUCAGCUUGAUUUAGUAUAGCACUUAAAUGAACGCUUUAGCCGGCUUUCAUUUUGGGUGUAGAAGUUAAUUAUUCAGCCUUUCUGAUAGCAAAACAGGAAGAAUACAAUAACAUGAAAAUCAGAUUUAAAUGACACAUUGUCAAAGCAAUAAAUUUCCUUGGUUAUUUAUUGCUACAAAAUCUGAUAAAUUUGGUGAGUUAAAACAGUAAUUGGAACAAAAAUUCUAUAUGUAAAUUUCAGUGAAUUUGGUGUGUAUCAAGUUUAUAAGGUUAAUUAGAAUAUACGCUCUUCAGCCUAUAGCUUCCCUUGGAUGAGGUAUAGUUACAGUGCUUGCUGAGUAUUUUAUCAUAACUAAAUAAUAUGUUGCCAUUUUGUGGAGUAAAUCUGUUGAAGGAAUGGUCAGAUACUAAAUCACCGUAGGAGGCUGAGGGGUGAAAGUAUCACUGUGUAACAAUUUUCAUGUAUUUAAGUGAUAAUGCCACUUAUUUUACCCAAUCUAAGUAUUACAGUUUAAUUUACUAUAGUCACAUAAUAAGUAGAAAAAGCAAAGCUAAUUAGCCUUGGAUAACGUCCCUUUCAUACACUAAGUGGCAUGGAAUGAGGAGGGCUGGAUUGGCAUGGGGGCUGCCGCAGCAUCCACUAAAUUCCAGGUUCUGGAAGGAGUUAGAGAGAAGCAGCAAACCCUUACUGUUCGGAACCCUGGAAAUCUGAGACAGGUCUCAGUUAAUGUGGGAAGUUUAUUUUGCCAAGAUUGAGGAUGUGGGCCCAUGACACAGCCUCAGGAGGUGCCAAUGACAUGUGCCCAAGGUAGGCAGGUUGCUUUUAUGCAUUUUAGGGAGAGACGAAACAUCAAUCAACAUGUGUAAGAUGAACGUUGGUUCCGUCCAGAAAAGUGGGACAACUCAAAGCAAAGGCAGAACUACUCGAAGUGAGGAAGGAGUUUCCAGGGCAUAGGUAGAUAAGACACAAAGGGUUGCCAUCUUCCAAGCUGCUGAGUCGCCUCUCCAAAGGAGGAAUCGGAUUUGCAUUUAUCUAAGUGAGCGGAAGGGUGGCUGAAUAGAAUGGGAGGCAGGUUUGCCCUAAGCGGUUCCCAGUGGACUUUUCCCUUUAGCUUAGUGAUGUGGGGGCCCCAAGACGCAUUUUCCUUUAACACUGUGGGUGCCGGAGGACCGCACGGUCGCCAAAGGGUUAGCUUCCUCGUGGCAUCUUGCUGCACUACCCUCAUCUUCCCCCAAGCCAGGCGUGUUUCUGUUUUUUAAAGUAACGAUGGAAGACAGAUUCACAAAUAAUAAAAUAUACUUUGUUUGUACUGCAGUGGAUUCUGGCCAGUAUAAACAAUGGUAUAUUGUGACCAGAUCGAGGGGCCUGACAACGAGUCGUCCUCGUUCUCCACACGUUGAACACAGAAUUGAACAGCACGCGAGCGCGAACAACGAAAGCAGAGAUUUAUUAAAGCAAAAGACAACAGAAGCAGAGACGCAUAAAGGCCACAGGAUGGGGGAGCCUCAAGCAAGGGGCCCAAGAGCUCUGGUUACAAAAUUAUCUGGGGUUUAAAUACCCUCUAGAGGUUUUCCAUUGGUUAAACUUUAUGUAAACGAUGGAUUGAAGUGGGGCUUUGGCUCACUGCCAAUCAGAGGCUGAAAUAGAUUGGCACGUUAUGCAAAUGAAGAAUUUCCCACUCUUGCCCUGUGGCCAGUCAGAGUUUGAAGUGAAUUAGCGCAUUAUGCAAAUGAAGGAUUGAUCCGUGCUUGCCCUGUGGCCAAUCAGAGGUACUCUCCGUUUUUCAGUGGGAGAGGUUGGUGUAGAGGGAGUAGCCUCUGAUCCUUUGUCAUUUAGGCGUGAAGAGGUGGGGUUUUCUGAUGCAGUUCUAGGAAGUCAGAGCCGAUCGCCCUCAGGUUCCCUGCCUCCAGACCCUAUUCCCUUGACUCAUAGUCACCAUACCAUGAAGACACAGCACAGUCCCGUCCUCCCAGUGGCCUCUCCCAGUCCAUCCCCUCCACCAAGCCCAAGGCAACCACUGUCUAUAAACGGAUUUGGUGAGUCCUUCCUAGGUUUCACAGAAAUUGAAAUACACAUUAUUGUAGUUUUUUGGUCUGGCUUCCUUUGUUCAGUACAAUGUUUCUGAGCUAAUCCACCUUUUUGUUGACAUCAAUAAUUUAUGAAUUUUAAUUGCCGCAUUGUACUGCAUCAUACGGGCACACGGCACUUUGUGUGUUCAUUCACUGCUGAUGGGCAUAUGGAUUAUUUCCAGCUGUUGUCCAUUAUCAAUAAAACUCCAUGAUCAUUCCCAUGAAAGCCUUUUGUGGGCAUACAUUGUCACCUCUUCUUUGUAAAUACCUAGUUGUAGAAUUUCCGGGUCGUCAGGAAAGUGCAUGCUUAACCCUAAAAAGCCUGCUCGAUUGCUGUUGAAAGUGGUUAUACCGUUUCACAUCCCCACCAGCAAAGAGAAGGCCUUUCAGCUGCCAAAAAUCGUCUUCACUAUUGAAAGACUGUUAGCAGCUGCUUGAAUUAGACAUAUUUCAGUCAUUAUGGCUCCAACACUUAUUCAUUGAUGACUUCAGAUGCUCAACAUCUUUCCAUGUGCUUAUGACAGUUGGUCCUUCUGGAAAGUAUCUGUUUGAAUAUUUUCCUCGUUUUUCAUUGCUUUGUUUAUCACGUCGAGUUGCAAGUGCUGUCUACAUGGCUGGCCACAGGCUACUGAUUUAUGUCGCUUGCCUUUUCAUCCCUUUCAUUUUUUCAAGAGCAGAAACUUUUAGCUCUGAUAAAGUUCAAUUUAUCACAUUUUUCUUCUAUUAUACAUUUAUUUUGUUUCCUGUUGAGAAAUAACCACAAAGUCUCAAGUAAUUUUUUUCGUAAUUCUCUGACAUUCAUCGUUUUUGCUUUUAUGCUUAGUUCUACAAUACGUUUUUUUUUGAGACAGCCUUGAUCUGUCGCCCAGUCUGGCAUGAUCUCAGCCCGCUGCAAUCUCUGCCUCCUGGGUUCAAGUGAUUCUUGUGCCUUAGUCUCUCAAAUAGCUGGGAUUAUAGGAGAAUAUCACCAUGCCUGGAUAAUAUUUUAUAUUUUUAGUAGAGGCUGGAUUUCACUGUGUUGGCCAGGUUGGUCUGGAACUCCUGGCCUCAAGCGAUCGCUCACCUCAGUGUCCCAAAGUGCUGGGAUUACAGGCGUGAGCCGUAGCCAGCCAGCAAGGUAUUCCCAACUGAUAUUUGUCAUGUGUGUGAGAUGCAAGUGUUGAGAUGUAAAUGUCGAAGUGUUUUCCCCGCAUUUUAGUUCAGUCAUUCCAACAUCCUUUGCUAGAAACACUCAUUUCUCUCAUUGAUUAGUACUGCCAAACUCAUCAAAAAGUCAACGGCCAUAUGCGUGUAAGUCCAUUUCUGAAUGCUCUGCUCUGUGCUUAGAUAAAUAUGUCUAUCUUGUCAUAUCCCACUCCCUUCAUUUUUGUAUAUUUAUGCAAUUUUUGAAAUCAGAUGGUGAAACACGGAUUUUUAAAGUUUUUUUUUGACACUUUAGAUCCUUUGUAUUCUCAUGUAAUUUUACAAUCAGCUUGUCGAUUUCUAAAAAAAAAGACUUUGGGGAAUGUUAAAUAAAAUUGUUUGGAGUCUGUCAAUAUCUCAUUAAGCAAAGUUACCACUAUAAUAACAUCGAGCCUUUUGAUUUAUGAACAUCUCUCUCUCCAUUUAUUCAGAUCUUCGUUAAUUCAGUCUCCCAGAAGUCAUUUUCGGAUGCCAAUUUGUAGAUCUUGCUUAUAUUUUAGGCUUAUCUUUAAGCAUGUCAUAUUUUGAUGCUACUGUAAACGGGACUUCAACUUCAAAUUUCCAUUUUUAAUAGUCUGUGGGAAUAAGUGAUAUUUAUCUUAUGUUUCUGUUUUGAAAUGGAGUCUAGCUGUGUCACCCAGGCUGGAGUGCAGUGGCUCCAUCUUGCUCACUCCAGCCUCCCCUCCUGGGUUCAAGUGAUUCUCCCACCUCAGCCUCCUGAGUAGCUGGGACCACAGGCAUGUGUCACCAAGCACAGCUGAUAUUUACAUUGUUAUUUGUUGCUCAGAAAUCUUGCUAAGUACACUAGUUAGUUCUAGUCUCUAUUUCAUAGAGUCUUUAGGAUUUCCCAUGCCCAUGAUCAUACCAUUUGUUUCACUAGUUCUUUUCCAAUGUAUAUGCCCUUUGUCCCUUGUUUCUGCCUUAUUACAUGGACUACGAUCUGGAAUUUUUGGUUAAAAAGUUUUCAGUUUUGUUUUCUAGUAUGUAAAGGUUUUUUAGGUCUUCUAUUUUUUCUUAAGACAACUCUGGCAAUUUAUGUCUUUCUAGGAAUUUAUCCAUUUAACAUCAAAUUAGUGUGAAAUUAUACAUAAAAUUCCUUUAUUAUUCUCUUAAAUCUGUAGAAUCUUCAGAAAGUCUUCCUUUCACCUCUAUUCUCAGUGGAGUGAUUCUUCCCUCAUUUAUUAUUAUUCAGUCUGGCUAGAGUUUUAAAGAUUGUAUUGAUCUUUUUGGACCAGUUUUGGAUGAUUUUCUGUUUCAGUGAUGUGGGUUGUCUUCCUUUUCUCUUUCUCUGUCUAUUUUCUGUUUCAGUGAUGUGGGUUGUCUUCCUUUUCUCUUUCUCUGUCUAUUUUCUGUUUCAGUGAUGUGGGUUGUCUUCCUUUUCUCUUUCUCUGUCUAUUUUCUGUUUCAGUGAUGUGGGUUGUCUUCCUUUUCUCUUUCUCUGUCUAUUUUCUGUUUCAGUGAUGUGGGUUGUCUUCCUUUUCUCUUUCUCUGUCUAUUUUCUGUUUCAGUGAUGUGGGUUGCCUUCCUUUUCUCUUUCUCUAUUUUUUGUUUCAGUGAUGUGGACUGCCUUCCUUUUCUCUUUCUCUGUCUAUUUUUUGUUUCAGUGAUGUGGACUGCCUUCCUUUUCUCUUUCUCUGUCUAUUUUCUGUUUCAGUGAUGUGGACUGCCUUCCUUUUCUCUUUCUCUGUCUAUUUUCUGUUUCAGUGAUGUGGGUUGUCUUCCUUUUCUCUUUCUCUGUCUAUUUUCUGUUUCAGUGAUGUGGGUUGUCUUCCUUUUCUCUUUCAUUGUAUUUACUUCAUGUGCUCUGAUCCUCCUUUUCAGGUUCUUGAAGACAUUUUUAUCAUGACUUUCACAUAAGCACUUCAAGUACGGUAGUACCUCUAAGCAUUUCCUCAUUUAUAGUUCAAACUUUUUAUACUUUUGUUUUAUUUUUAUUAGUUUUUAAAAUGUGUUCCCUGUGGCUUAUUUUUUUUGUCCCAUGGGUUACUUUAAAAAG